AGCUUGAUAGCUCAGUCGGUUAGAGCGUGGUGCUGUUAACGCCAGGAUUGCAGGUUCAAUCCCCAUAUGGGACAAGCUG